rnacentral:tRNA from 1 species
GGCCGGCUGGCGCAAUGGUAGCGCGUCAGACUUCUACUUCUCUUUCAAAGAGGGAUAGAUGUUUAUCUGAAGGCUGCGGGUUCGAGCCCCGCGCUGGUCA